rnacentral:rRNA from 1 species
GACAAACGCUGGCGGGGUGCGUGAGACAUGCAAGUCGAACGGGGUUGAGCGGGCUUGCUCGAUCAACCUAGUGGCGGACGGCUGAGUAACGCGUAGGUGACCUACCCGGAAGUGGGGAAUAACUGCCCGAAAGGGUGGCUAAUACCGCAUGUGGUCGGCGAUUCAGUUCGCCGCCCAAAGCCCGCAAGGCGCUUCCGGCGGGGCCUGCGUCCGAUUAGCUAGUUGGUGGGGUAAUGGCUCACCAAGGCGACGAUCGGUAGCUGGUCUGAGAGGAUGAUCAGCCAGACUGGGACUGAGAACGGCCCAGACUCCUACGGGAGGCAGCAGUCGGGAAUUUUGCCCAAUGGACGAAAGUCUGAGGCAGCAACUCCGCGUGAGGGAC